rnacentral:rRNA from 1 species
CUACGGGAGGCAGCAGUGGGGAAUAUUGCACAAUGGACGCAAGUCUGACCCAGCCAUGCCGCGUGGAGGAUGAAGGUCCUCUGGAUUGUAAACUUCUUUUAUCUGGGAAGAAACCCAUGGUUUCUACUGUGGUUGACGGUACCAGAUGAAUAAGCACCGGCUAACUCCGUGCCAGCAGCCGCGGUAAUACGGAGGGUGCAAGCGUUAUCCGGAUUCACUGGGUUUAAAGGGUGCGUAGGCGGAUUGGGAAGUCCGUGGUGAAAUCCCCGAGCUUAACUUGGGAACUGCCGUGGAUACUCUCAAUCUUGAAUAUCGUGGAGGUAAGCGGAAUAUGUCAUGUAGCGGUGAAAUGCUUAGAUAUGACAUAGAACACCAAUUGCGAAGGCAGCUUGCUACACGGUCAUUGACGCUGAGGCACGAAAGCGUGGGGAUCAAACAGGAUUAGAAACCCAGUAGUCC